GACGAACGCUGGCGGCGUGCUUAACACAUGCAAGUCGAACGGAAAGGCCCUGCUUUUGUGGGGUUCUCGAGUGGCGAACGGGUGAGUAACACGUGAGUAACCUGCCCUUGACUUUGGGAUAACUUCAGGAAACUGGGGCUAAUACCGGAUAGGAGCUCCUGCUGCAUGGUGGGGGUUGGAAAGUUUCGGCGGUUGGGGAUGGACUCGCGGCUUAUCAGCUUGUUGGUGAGGUAGUGGAUUACCAAGGCUUUGACGGGUAGCCGGCCUGAGAGGGUGAACGGGCACAUUGGGCCUGAGAUACGGCCCAGAAUCCUACGGGAGGCAGCAGUGGGGAAUAUUGCACAAUGGGCGGAAGCCUGAUGCAGCAACGCCGCGUGCGGGAUGACGGCCUUCGGGUUGUAAACCGCUUUCGCAUGUGACGAAGAGUGAGUGACGGUAAUGGGUAAAGAAGCACCGGCUAACUACGUG
rnacentral:rRNA from 1 species